rnacentral:misc_RNA from 1 species
GUCAUUAUCAACCCUCAAGCUUGGCUUGUUGUUGGACUUUCGUCGUUAAAGACGGGUCCCAAAGACAAUGACGGAGUCGUGUUGGACCCUAGAUGCAACGAGCUUUGAUAGCACGCAUUGAAGGGCCGGCCGCUCUUGUCUCAACCAUAUUUUAUAACAAGGUUGACCUCGGAUCAGGUAGGAAUACCCGCUGAACUUAA